GUGCUGCUUAAUAGUGGGAAUGGCACUGUCUGGGGCAAUAAUGAGGGUCUCUGUUUUUUCUGACUUUAGUUGGAGGCUGUUGUCAAAUAGACAGUGUUUA